GAUGAACGCUGGCGGCGUGCCUAAUACAUGCAAGUCGAGCGAACGGACGAGAAGCUUGCUUCUCUGAUGUUAGCGGCGGACGGGUGAGUAACACGUGGAUAACCUACCUAUAAGACUGGGAUAACUUCGGGAAACCGGAGCCAAUACCGGAUAAUAUUUUGAACCGCAUGGUUCAAAAGUGAAAGACGGUCUUGCUGUCACUUAUAGAUGGAUCCGCGCUGCAUUAGCUAGUUGGUAAGGUAACGGCUUACCAAGGCAACGAUGCAUAGCCGACCUGAGAGGGUGAUCGGCCACACUGGAACUGAGACACGGUCCAGACUCCUACGGGAGGCAGCAGUAGGGAAUCUUCCGCAAUGGGCGAAAGCCUGACGGAGCAACGCCGCGUGAGUGAUGAAGGUCUUCGGAUCGUAAAACUCUGUUAUUAGGGAAGAACAUAUGUGUAAGUAACUGUGCACAUCUUGACGGUACCUAAUCAGAAAGCCACGGCUAACUACGUG
rnacentral:rRNA from 1 species